AACGAACGCUGGCGCCGUGCCUAACACAUGCAAGUCGAACGAGAAGUACGUAGCAAUACGUAUUGUAAAGUGGCGCACGGGUGAGUAACACGUGGGUAAUCUGCCCUUGAGUUUGGGAUAACCCCGCGAAAGCGGGGCUAAUACCGAAUAAGACCACGGGGACCAAAGUCCCUGAGGUAAAAGGUGGCCUCUAUUUAUAAGCUACCACUUGAGGAUGAGCCCGCGGCCCAUUAGCUAGUUGGCAGGGUAAUGGCCUACCAAGGCAAUGAUGGGUAGCUGGUCUGAGAGGACGAUCAGCCACACUGGAACUGAGACACGGUCCAGACUCCUACGGGAGGCAGCAGUGGGGAAUAUUGCGCAAUGGGCGAAAGCCUGACGCAGCAACGCCGCGUGGGGGAUGAAGGUUCUCGGAUUGUAAACCCCUUUCGAUCGGAACGAAUCCCCUCUUGGUAAAUAAUCAGGAGGAUCGACGGUACCGAGAGAAGAAGCCACGGCUAACUCUGUGCCAGCAGCCGCGGUAAGACAGAGGUGGCGAGCGUUGUUCGGAUUUAUUGGGCGUAAAGCGAACGCAGGUGGUUUGGUAAGUCAGGGGUG
rnacentral:rRNA from 1 species